rnacentral:rRNA from 1 species
AUACGGAGGGUGCAAGCGUUACUCGGAAUCACUGGGCGUAAAGCGCGCGCAGGCGGUUUGAUAAGUUGGAUGUGAAAUCCUAUGGCUCAACCAUAGAACUGCAUCCAAAACUGUCAAACUAGAGUCUGGGAGAGGAAGAUGGAAUUAGUUGUGUAGGGGUAAAAUCCGUAGAGAUAACUAGGAAUACCAAAAGCGAAGGCGAUCUUCUGGAACAGUACUGACGCUGAGGCGCGAAAGCGUGGGGAGCAAACAGGAUUAGAUACCCCGGUAGUCC